rnacentral:lncRNA from 1 species
CCACGCUUGACAUUCGAGGAGUUCAGCAUCGAGCCGCGACUGCAGCUUCCGGAAGAGCACCCGGCCAGCGCCUACAACGGACAGUGUGCCCGCGAGCGCCUGGAGGUUCGCACGAGAGACCGUUACCACGGAAAGAUGUACUGUGGCAACGAGAUCAAACCCAACGAGACGAUGACCGCGCAGACGCCUGACAUGGUGCUCAUCAUGGGAGCCAAGAGGACCAACACGGGAAAGGGAUUCAGAGCGCGCGUUGACUUCGUCGACAAGGCCUCCGGUAAAACGUCUGGGUGAGAUCGCGAACGCUAUCGCCAACGUCAUCGGCACGGCGCAGAACUUCGUCGAAGCGCAGAU